rnacentral:rRNA from 1 species
UACAGAGGUGGCAAGCGUUGUUCGGAAUUACUGGGCGUAAAGGGCGCGUAGGCGGUUCGUUAAGUCCUGUGUGAAAUCCCCCGGCUCAACUGGGGAACUGCACAGGAAACUAGCGGGCUUGAGUUCGGGAGAGGGAAGCGGAAUUCCGGGUGUGCGGUGAAAUGGCGUAGGAUAUCCGGAGGAACACCGGUGGCGAAGGCGGCUCCUGGACCGAGAUUGACGCUG